UUUGGUUCGAGUUAUGUAAUAUUACAAAGUAUCUCGACAUAUCCAGGUAUCUUGGAUUUCGGCGUGAGAUUACUACUAAUGUUACAUUAGAGCGUUUGGUUUAAUACAGUAAUGUAAUACUAGAUUACAGUGUUUAUAGCAUUAAUAUGUUUGGUUCAGUUUAUAAAAUUUAGUAAUCCUGACAUAAAAGUAUAGUUUUUUCCAAAAUUGCCCUUGUUGUGGUCAUUUGAAUAUUAUUUUUUGCGGAAAUGACGAAUGGAGGGAAGGAGAUCGUGAUGAUUAUUUGGGAGGACGACGCAAUAGAAGAUGAUAGGUGUUCAUGUGAGAGAGAGAGAGAGAGAGAGAGAGAGACGUCCAGAGAGAGAGAGCGAGAGAAAGCGGCGUGCGAGAGAGAGGGCCGGGGGGAAGGCGAGAUAGAGAUGAAAAUAAUGCUGUUAAUUAGAUUUGGGGUUGUUGGAGGGUAAAAUUGUCAUUUUACAUAAUAUGUAGUAUUAACGGGUUUCAGUAAUGCAAGAUACACGACCCCCCUCCCAUUAAUAUUUUCGAUGUAAUCCUGCUCGAUUUGUAAUCCUACAUUAACAACUAGAUUACAUAGCGGAUUAACCAAACAUAGUUAUCCUGGCAGGAUUGCCUGUAAUCCUGCCAGGAUAACUCGAACCAAACGCACCCUUUAGGUUCUCUAUCAAACCGUAACUAGGGAAAUUCAUCUAUCCCUACGAUCAAUACCAAGUGUCACCUACACUAA
rnacentral:lncRNA from 1 species